UACAGCUGCAGCUAAAUCAAGUCAAUUUUCAGAAUCUAGCCAUCUGUGAGACUGAGGAAGUACCAAGUCUUUAUUCUUUUGACAUUCAGUAUUUCACUGGUUUGUGUUGUACAAGGCAGAAGAUACUGAAAUCAUUAUGAAGUUUGUAAUAACAGAAGUGCUUUUAUUUUUGACCACAGGGAUUGAGCACACCAGCCAAUCAAGAGAUAAAUGAGAUAUGGAGGAAAUGGGGCAGAUAAGAGUGUUCAGGCUGCUUUACACUCCUUUUCACUAUUGGAAAAUCCAAUAGUUUGGAGCAGUGUUUGUAAACUAUUUUUCAAAGAGCUUUAACCUUCAGCAAAGGUGUUUCAGGGAGAAGAGGCAGAAUUAGGGGAUCCUCCAGAUGCCAAUGUUGGCAAGCUCUGCUUCAGUUAGAAAAGCUUUACUUUGUUUUAUACAUUGAUGAUUUAUGUAUGUUUUUAGACAAAAAGAGGUCUGCUUUUUUUUUUUUAACAGAACUUUUUGAAGCUCCUAGGGGGAAAAACAAAACAAAACAAAACAAAACAAAACAAACCUUCCUCUUCAGGAGAAAGACAACAGAAGCCAACAGAAAGCUUCUUCCUAAAGAACUGUCUAUGAAUAUCUUAGAGGUAGACAACUGAUUUAAGAAGACCAAGGGGAUGAUUCUUCUGACAGCCAUAACCACAAGAUUUCAGAUUUUGGGCUCCAGUAAAACAUCAAAUCUACAAAAAUCACAACAUGGCCAGCUUUCCCACUCUCUUCUGCUUAUUACUUUCCAGCUCUACAAAUAUGGGAGCCGGGUGAUGCUAACGAGGAAACAAAGGGACUGCGCUCUGCUUCACGUGGGAUCCGUCUGAUGAAAAGAAAAUGCUGAGAGAACUGGGAUUCCCAAAGAAGAUGCUGCAGAAGAUAUUUUCCACAUUAAAGAACAUUUGAUCUGUUCCACCAGUAGAUGAACCAUUAGCAGAAGCAAUCAUUAUCAGAGCCAGUAAAAGGAAAUAAAGAAAUGAGGCUUGGUUUUUAAAGUGACCACACUGCUUCUAAGUCAAGGUGAAAGUGCUGACAGUGAAUUUAUCAGAAUUCCAGGUGGAAUCCUCCAGAGUCACCUUUCAAUCAUAACUGUCAUCCUCAGAGAAAAAGCUUUUGUUGAAGAAAAAUUUGUACAAACAUUGAAUAAUCACAUUGAUAUGGUAACAAUUUAACAAUACAUUCAAUAAGAAUGAAUGUUACAGUGGGUCACUUUUUCCCUGCUUUUUAUCAAACCUUUGUAUUUUCCCCAGAUUUUACAAGUAAUAAAUCCUCAUUGUAGAACAUUUGAGAAAGAUAUAAAUAAGAAAAUAAAAGCAGUGCAUAAGACUUUCUCUGAGCAAUGGCCACUAUUAAUAUGCUGAUUCAUUUCAUAAAUGUAUAUAUUUAUAAUCACACACUCAUUUGUGCUUUAGUUAUAUAGUUGAAAUUAUAUUGAAUGUAAUGUCCUUUCUUGCUUUUUCAUUUUUUCCCUUGCAUUUUAUUUAACAUAAAGGUAUAGGUAUA
rnacentral:lncRNA from 10 species